AGAGUUUGAUCCUGGCUCAGAAUGAACGCUGGCGGCGUGCUUAACACAUGCAAGUCGAACGAGAAAGUCUUACUUUCGGGUGGGCGAGUAAAGUGGCGCACGGGUGAGUAACGCGUAGAUGAUCUACCCUUGAGUUCGGGACAACCUUGCGAAAGCGGGGCUAAUACCGGAUACUAUCCUUUCGGGGAUGAAAGUUGGCCGCUCAAAGAAGCUAACGCUCGGGGAUGAGUCUGCUUCCUAUCAGCUGGUUGGCAGGGUAAAGGCCUACCAAGGCGACGACGGGUAGCUGGUCUGAGAGGAUGAUCAGCCACACUGGCACUGACACACGGGCCAUACUCCUACGGGAGGCAGCAGUGAGGAAUUUUGCGCAAUGGGGGAAAUCCUGACGCAGCAACGCCGCGUGGGUGAUGAAGGCCUUCGGGUCGUAAAGCCCUGUCAGGUGGGAAGAAUAGCUUGGGGUCUAAUACGCUUUGAGUAUGACGGUACCACCAGAGGAAGCACCGGCUAACUCCGUGCCAGCAGCCGCGGUAAUACGGAGGGUGCUAGCGUUAUUCGGAAUUACUGGGCGUAAAGCGCGUGUAGGCGGGGAGGUAAGUCUGAUGUGAAAGCCCUGGGCUCAACCUGGGAAGUGCAUUGGAAACUGUGUUCCUUGAGUUCCGGAGAGGAUCGGGGAAUUCCCGGUGUAGAGGUGAAAUUCGUAGAGAUCGGGAGGAAUACCAGUGGCGAAGGCGCCCAUCUGGACGGUAACUGACGCUGAGACGCGAAAGCGUGGGGAGCAAACAGGAUUAGAUACCCUGGUAGUCCACGCCGUAUACGAUGACCACUACGUGUAGCGGGUAAUCAUUCCUGCUGUGCCGCAGCUAACGCGUUAAGUGCUCCGCCUGGGGACUACGGUCGCAAGACUAAAACUCAAAGGAAUUGACGGGGGCCCGCACAAGCGGUGGACCAUGUGGUUUAAUUCGACGCAACGCG
rnacentral:rRNA from 1 species